rnacentral:rRNA from 1 species
GUCGAGCGGACAGAAGGGAGCUUGCUCCCGGAUGUUAGCGGCGGACGGGUGAGUAACACGUGGGUAACCUGCCUGUAAGACUGGGAUAACUCCGGGAAACCGGAGCUAAUACCGGAUAGUUCCUUGAACCGCAUGGUUCAAGGAUGAAAGACGGUUUCGGCUGUCACUUACAGAUGGACCCGCGGCGCAUUAGCUAGUUGGUGGGGUAAUGGCUCACCAAGGCGACGAUGCGUAGCCGACCUGAGAGGGUGAUCGGCCACACUGGGACUGAGACACGGCCCAGACUCCUACGGGAGGCAGCAGUAGGGAAUCUUCCGCAAUGGACGAAAGUCUGACGGAGCAACGCCGCGUGAGUGAUGAAGGUUUUCGGAUCGUAAAGCUCUGUUGUUAGGGAAGAACAAGUGCGAGAGUAACUGCUCGCACCUUGACGGUACCUAACCAGAAAGCCACGGCUAACUACGUGCCAGCAGCCGCGGUAAUACGUAGGUGGCAAGCGUUGUCCGGAAUUAUUGGGCGUAAAGGGCUCGCAGGCGGUUUCUUAAGUCUGAUGUGAAAGCCCCCGGCUCAACCGGGGAGGGUCAUUGGAAACUGGGAAACUUGAGUGCAGAAGAGGAGAGUGGAAUUCCACGUGUAGCGGUGAAAUGCGUAGAGAUGUGGAGGAACACCAGUGGCGAAGGCGACUCUCUGGUCUGUAACUGACGCUGAAGAGCGAAAGCGUGGGGAGCGAACAAGGAUUAGAUA